rnacentral:lncRNA from 1 species
UGGUUAGGUGUUUCUUAUCAGGAUCAUUUCACUUUAUCAUGAACAAGGAGUGCUGGUAGAAAAUGGAAUGGGAUUGAUUGUGAAUUGUUAACUAACACUCUGGGUCUCCACCUAAAUGACAAAUCUUUUGUAACUGAAGACCUUAGUUUUCCUGUUACUGGAGCUAAUAGAAGGUCUAUUCAGGCUUUGGAUCCUAUUGUAAAUUCCAUCUGCUCAGAUAGAUUUCAUAAUGCUCCCCUUUCCCCAUCUAUUCCUUAUCAGACCCCACAAUCAGAGCCAGUGCCCCUGUAUUGCGCUAAGGUAAGGAACUAGGACGUGUUUCUGAGAUUUACACAUGAGACCCUGAGGAUGCCAUCGAUUUCUGUAAUUAAAAAAAAAAAAGUAAAUGAAAUAGAAUAUAAAGAAAGCUAGACUCUUGGAGAAUUCUUCAGGUUCCCCUCUGACCACUUUGUGCUCUGAGAUUUGAUUUUAUUAUUUUCUUCACAUAUUAUUUUCAAUUUGGGGAAACUUUUA